rnacentral:rRNA from 1 species
UAUUUUGGACAAUGGGCGCAAGCCUGAUCCAGCCAUGCCGCGUGAGAGAUGAAGUUUUUAGGGGUGAAAAGCUCUUUCACCGGUGAAGAUAAUGACGUUAACCGGAGAAGAAGCCUCGGCUAACUUCGUUCCAGCAGCCGCGGUAAUACGAAGGGGGCGAGCGUUGUUCGGAAUUACUGGGCGUAAAGCGCACGUAGGCGGAUUAUUAAGUCAGGGGUGAAAGCCCGCAGCUCAACUGCGGAACUGCCUUUGAUACUGGUAAUCUAGAGUCCGAGAGAGGUAAGUGGAACUCCUAGUGUAGAGGUGGAAUUCGUAGAUAUUAGGAAGGAACACCAGUGGCGAAGGCGACCACCUGGGCUAAUACUGACACUGAGGUGCGAAAGCGUGGGGAGCAAAC